rnacentral:rRNA from 1 species
AUUGAACGCUGGCGGCAGGCCUAACACAUGCAAGUCGAGCGAGCGGCGGACGGGUGAGUAAUGUCUAUGAAACUGCCUGAGGGAGGGGGAUAACUACUGGAAACGGUAGCUAAUACCGCAUACCAUCAGAUGUGCCCAGAUGGGAUGAGCUAGUAGGGGGGGUAACGGCUCACCUAGGGGACGAUCCCUAGCUGGUCUGAGAGGAUGACCAGCCACACUGGAACUGUGACACGGUCCAGACUCCUACGGGAUGCAGCAGUGGGGAAUAUUGAACAAUUGGCGCAAGCCUGAUGCAGCCAUGCCGCGUGUGUGAAGAAGGCCUUCGGGUUGUAAAGCACUUUCAGCGGGGAGGCGUUACCCGCAGAAGAAGCACCGGCUAACUCCGUGCCAGCAGCCGCGGUAAUAC